rnacentral:rRNA from 1 species
CCUACGGGUGGCUGCAGUGGGGAAUAUUGGACAAUGGGGGGAACCCUGAUCCAGCCAUGCCGCGUGUGUGAAGAAGGCCCUCGGGUUGUAAAGCACUUUCAGUGAGGAAGAACGCCUGGUGGUUAAUACCCAUCAGGAAAGACAGCACUCACAGAAGAAGCACCGGCUAACUCCGUGCCAGCAGCCGCGGUAAUACGGAGGGUGCGAGCGUUAAUCGGAAUUACUGGGCGUAAAGCGCGCGUAGGUGGCUUGAUAAGCCGGUUGUGAAAGCCCCGGGCUCAACCUGGGAACGGCAUCCGGAACUGUCAAGCUAGAGUGCAGGAGAGGAAGGUAGAAUUCCCGGUGUAGCGGUGAAAUGCGUAGAGAUCGGGAGGAAUACCAGUGGCGAAGGCGGCCUUCUGGACUGACACUGACACUGAGGUGCGAAAGCGUGGGUAGCAAACAGGAUUAGAUACCCUUGUAGUC